UUCGGUUUUAUUUUCUCCCCUUCUGUUUAAUUCCUUCACUUUGUUCUCUCCUUUAUGGACUUUGGAGAAAGAAAAAAAAAAAAACAAACAAAAAAAUAAAUCCAGACACAAUAAAAUGACAAAACACAGACAAAAUCUAAAACAUGAUUUGGAACACGGCACAGGAUUCGUCGAAGGUGGAAGACAAUGCUCUGGAUUUUCCAUCUUUUUUUCCCGUUGAUGUUGCAGAGAAAACACUGAAUUGUCUGGGGAACUGGAAUGUGAAGUAGGUCAUGAUCAAUCAAGGUCAGAGAACACACGCCCUCACAUGCAUGUACAUUAUAUGCACACACACACACACGUCCAAACACACACAUUAAUACGACAGAAGGACCGGAAUGGAGAGCUGGAGGUGCUCAUGGCAUUACAUCUGAUUUCCAGAGGAGAAGAGGAGGACGAGGCGUGGAGGAGAAGAGGAAGAGGCAAAGUGCACAGAGAGAGGGAGAUAGGUUUGCCAUGGAUCAUUGAGCUUUACACGGGCGCAGUCGUGAACAAGUAAAGAGGGACAAGGACAGACAGAUACAGAGAAAAAUUAGCACUGGGACCGGUUUUGUGCUUCAAAUUGAACCCAAAUGAGAAAAUUUUUGGAUGGGAUCUCAAAAACAUGCAAGUGUGUGUUGCAAUUGUGGCUAUACAGUACGGAUUUGUACACCAUAGAUAGAUCCAUAUAGAUAGAUGGAUAGGUAGAUAGAGAGAGAGAGAGAGAGAGGAAGAGAGAGAGAGAGAUGGAACGGGUAUGGAGAAGCAUGUAGGCCGGGUCAACCUUUAAACUCUGCUUCCAGAGCUCCUUCCAUCACACACAUGACAUUAAUUUAUCACACAACACUUUCAGGAUUAGAUUAGCAUGGCACUCCGGUCAACACGUAACAGAUUACGCCAAUUAGAUACUUCUUUACAUUUACGUUUUAGUUUGGUUAUUGCUGGAUUUGACAAAAUUAGCUAUGGGGACACAACGAUGUCAAAACAUGCUAUAUACAGCACUUACGUGACUGAAUGAUCGGCUCCUAACCGUGCUUUUUGUCCAUGAAUGUAAGAGCUUGCAUACGGCAUACGCGAUGCGGAAACCAGCGCUCACUGUUAAGCCAUGCGCCGCCGAGCACAUGGUCGCAGCGUCUUCUCUACGCGCCUUUAAGUGGUGGUUAAUUAGUCACCACCAAGACACUGUCGUCCUUGAAGAGGGUCCCUGUCAGUGCCUGGAUUGAGCUAGAUUUAUGAGCUCUGCUCCUCAGCAGAUGGAGGGAUGAGGAGAAGAGCGACGGCGCCCUCGCUUAGCGAUCCGCUCGCUAAUUACGUCUCUAUUCCCCACUAAUUUGGCUCCCUCUCGAAAGCGGCUGGAGGAAGGAAGUAACGUACGAAGGGGGCGAGCACACGGGAUUUCGAAUAUGCCGAGAGUUUUUGGUUGUGACGGCAAGAUGGCUGACAAUGUUACAGCAAAAAACGGUGGGACAGCAUAAAGGUUAGCAUACAUUCGAUACAGUACAGAGCCUUAAAAAGAAACGGUUGAAUACACACACGGUACAAAUUAUAGUACAUUUCAUUGAUUGCUCUCUUUGUGAGUGUGCGGAUGCACAGCAAAACCCUACGUUUGUCAAAUAUCUGGUUAAAUUAGUCUAGCAUCGUGGCAUGCUAGCAUAACAAAGUCGGGGCUAAUUCAAAGCAGUGUUUUGCUGCACUCCAGCUCAUCACCUUGUUUUUUUUUUGUUUUUUUUUUUAAAAAGGUUCUCAUGGCAAAAUAGAGCACAACACUUUGAAAAAAAAAAAAAAAAACCUUAUAAUUAUUAUUAAUUUUUUUUUUUUUCAGAGCAAAGUACAAAAUAUUUUCGCACACAUGGCUCUGGGAUUAUUAUAAUAUUUUUUUUCUCACAUGUAAUUACCAUCAUAUUGAGUUCAAAUACUUAAUUAACAUCAUUAUUAUUAUCAUCAUAAUGAUCAUCAUCUUCAUCAUCAUCAUCAUUAUUAACACCAAAAAAAAAAAAAAAGCAAUUAGCAGUUAACCUUGCAGAUUAAAUGUACACAGUGCAGGGGCUAUAGAGAGGGCUCGGGCUUGGAUGGACGGCACAACAG
ensembl:lncRNA